rnacentral:rRNA from 1 species
UAAUACGUAGGUGGCGAGCGUUGUCCGGAAUUACUGGGCGUAAAGGGCGCGCAGGCGGUUCGUUAAGUCCAAGGUGAAAUCCCACGGCUCAACUGUGGGGGGACCCUGGAUACUGGCGGGCUGGAGUGCGGGAGAGGGAAGCGGAAUUCCACGUGUAACGGUGAAAUGUAUAGAUAUGUGGAGGAACACCGGUGGCGAAGGCGGCUUCCUGGACCGUAACUGACGCUGAGGCGCGAAAGCUGGGGGAGCGAACAGGAUUAGAUACCCUGGUAGUCCCAGCCGUAAACUAUGAACACUAGGUGUGGGGGGUAUCGACCCCUUCCGUGCCGCAGCUAACGCAAUAAGUGUUCCGCCUGGGGAGUACGGCCGCAAGGUUGAAACUUAAAUGAAUUGACGG